GCUGCUCUGUGCUGCACUGAUGAGUCCAAACUGUAAACUACAGAGACUGGGCACAACAAAGAAAAGCAGGAUAAACCCUCAUGAGUCUUAGGGUUGCCAGGUUUGUGGUUCUUGACCAGAAUGUAAGUUUUCAGUAGAGUCUGCAGUAUCAGGUCACAGGUGAUGACUGAAUGCUGAAUGCAUGAUUGACAUUGUAAAAUGUUGACCACUUCAGUACAGUAGUAUGUUUCACGUUGAUCAUAACAUAACAAAAAUGACA